ACGCAAAACACUCUCCACUUCUCCACUCCGUUCGCAUCUUCUUCUCCAUUUUUCCACACCACAUAUAAAACAUUACAAAAUCCUACUGCUUUACUUUUGAACCCCGAAAAAGAAGGCAAAGAGUUUUUAGAAUUUAAAAAUAGGUGAUGAAUCUUAAAGGUUGGUGUGUGUAUUAUACAAUAAUGUUGUUGUUGAUGAAAUUCCGUUUAUAUUAAAACCAACAAAGAUUGAUUUCUUCAAAAAGAAAGAUCUAAAAGUGCUUCUUUGCUUUUGAAACCAAAAUGAAGACCAGGAAUUUGGUGUUGCUGAUGUUAUGUGUUACGGUUAUAGCUCUUAUUGUUCUCUAUACUGAUAGAUUCUCUGCCUCUUUCAAGGCUUCUUUUCUAGAAACCAAUUUCUUGAAGAUCUUUUAGCUUUUGUAAGUUUUUCCAACUUUCCUUUUUCACCCCUUGUCUUUCAAACAAGAUAAGAUAGUAAAGUUUCAAUCUUUCUUCGUUUUUUCUCUUUAGACUGUCAGUGGUGAUGCCAUCCAUCUAAAUCUUCUUCCCCAAGUGCUUGUAUGUUCAUGGGUUUUUUGUUUUUUAAAAUAGUUUCUUACUCAUAAAGCUCAGAUCUUUAUAUAUUAUCCCUUCAAAAUCUCUUUUUUUUUUUCUUCCUUGUUGCAUAUAGGAAUCUUCCACAACCCGUAAAGUACCCAUUGGAAUAGUUUAUUCAGAAUCAAGAUAGCAUAAAUUAGCUAGAGUUUUGUCUACAACAAAUGAUGUUGAUCGGUCUCAAACAGAUAAUAUCAUCAAACAGGUCAUUGAUCUGAAUCAGAGUGAAAAUGAAAUCAAGAAAAGUUCUGGAGAUGCUCAGGACAAGAUUAAGGCAUCUGAGCAGCAGAAUUCUGAUAAUGACUCUCAAAAUAUGGUUUGAAUGUGAAAGGUCGUCUUAAGGUCACCAGAGCAUUUGGAGCUGGAUUUCUGAAAAAGCCCAAGUUGAACGAUUCAUUAUUGGAAAUGUUUCGAAAUGAGUAUAUUGGAACUGCUCCAUACAUAUCCUACACGCCUUCUCUUCAUCACCAUAGACUCUGCCCAAGAGAUCAAUUUUUGAUCCUCUCAUCUGAUGGCUUAUAUCAAUAUCUGACCAAUCAGGAAGUGGUUUCAAAUGUUGAGAGUUUCAUGGAGAAGUUUCCAGAUGGUGAUCCUGCACAACACCUAAUAGAGGAGCUGCUCUUCCAUGCAGCUGACAAAGCUGGAAAAAAUGAUACAGCUGCAACAUGAAACACAAGUAAGGGAAAGUGAAAAAACAGAAGCAGAAAUAUGUGAGGAAGUUCUAGGUAAAGCUGUGGGAUAUAAUCAAAAUUUUGCAUUUUCAUAGAUUCAACAUCAUGAUACUACAACAGAAGCAAAAUUAAGGUGCAUAGUGCAACCAAAAAAAAAAAAA